rnacentral:rRNA from 1 species
AUUGAACGCUGGCGGCAGGCCUAACACAUGCAAGUCGAACGAGUGGCGGACGGGUGAGUAAUGUCUGGGAAACUGCCUGAUGGAGGGGGAUAACUACUGGCAACGGUAGCUAAUACCGCAUACCAUCGGAUGUGCCCAGAUGGGAUUAGCUUGUUGGUGGGGUAACGGCUCACCAAGGCGACGAUCCCUAGCUGGUCUGAGAGGAUGACCAGCCACACUGGUACUGAGACACGGUCCAGACUCCUACGGGAGGCAGCAGUGGGGAAUAUUGGACAAUGGGCGCAAGCCUGAUCCAGCCAUGCCGCGUGGGUGAAGAAGGCCUUCGGGUUGUAAAGCCCUUUUGUUGGGAAAGCGGUACCCAAAGAAUAAGCACCGGCUAACUCCGUGCCAGCCGCCGCGGUAAUAC